UCUGGUACCGGGACGGGAUCCUCCUGCCGUCUCUGGCAGGCAUUCUCCGCCGCCGGCUCUGCGCUUUACUGAGGUGGGAGGAACGAUCCAAAUCCAGAUCCAGGGUCGAGGUAAUGAGCCCGAAUCUAGCCAGGUCCACCUCCGCCUGGGACAUCGUCCUGGACAUGCUUCAACCACCUCCAACAAACUUCGCUCGAACCCCAAGGGAAAGCCCUUGAGGAAAGACUCGCUGACACGGUCUCAAGAAAAGCACAACAUUCAACCACAAACAUCAUCGUGUUUCAUGUUGCACCAGCCGCUCCUCGGAAAACAUUUGCCUCCUCACUACUUUUAUUCUUUCGUUUGCCUGCCCCUUUCAGUCUGUUAGACACUCCCCCCCCAUCAGCAAUAGAAAGUAACUUAGAGAGGGAAAUGAAAAGGGGCUCUACUUUGAAUUGACAAGUGCUUAGAGACAGCAGUAAUUCCGCUAACGCCUGAUAUUGCUCUCAGACCGUCCCCGCACCGCCCAUUGGCUCAGGGCAGACUGUCGCUAAUUUGGAUGGGGGCGUGUUGAAACCGGGGUGGGGGUAAUGUUCAGUGUUUAUUUACUUGGUUCUCCAAAUUGCAGGGGGGAAACGAAAGGUAAUUUUACUUUCUUUCUCUCUCUCUCUCUCUCUCUGAACCAUCCCUUUAAAUUCCUACUGUUUUCACACGUGCUGAAAGAUCAGUACACAAAGUGCGGAGGGAGUGAAAAGCGUCCUUUAAAGCUGGGCGCGCUCAGAAUUUUUUUUCAAAAGGCACUCGGCCAGAAAGAGGCACUGUGUGAAGCAGCAGGAUCUGAAUGGACAAAGUUCUCCUUUAUCGGGCGCAACAUUCACUCAGUUCCAGUCACGUCCUCCAGCCGGGCCAGAGGCUCCAGCAUGAGAAGCAGAGCUGCUAUCAACUCACAACACAGAUCGGGGGGGUGCGGUUUGAAGUGUACAUAUUCUUCCCUUGAGGUUGGGGGGGUUGCUGUUGGAUGGCGGAUGACGGUAUGACGUUACUGGAAGUAAGAUCAGGCUGCUUAUCACUGAUAGAGCAUGAUCCAGAUGGUCUUUAUUGUGAGCUCCAUGGAGCAGGCUUUGAUAUUUCAACCAACCUGUUAUGACACCGAGAUAGUAGGAACUGCAGAUGCUGGAGAAUCUGAGAUAACAAGGUGUAGAGCUGGAUGAACACAGCAGGCCAAGGAGCAUCCGAGGAGCAGGAAGGCUGAAGUUUUGGGCCUUCACCCUUCUUCAGAGCAGGAGAGAACUCUAACCUGGGCCCCUGGCUCAGAGGUGUCAUGACCACAAGUCAGAAGCGUUUGGUACUGAGGACAAUGUAAACUUGUAAUUUCAAAAUGUACUUUUAAAAAGAGGGAUUGUGUCAUAAUGGCCACAGAUGUAAGUCUGGAGACUGAAGAAAAGAGGACAGCUCUUAGUUUCUUCAUUGUGUACUCUACUCCAAGACAUGAAACUUUAUACAGGAACCAGCAUUCAUCCGUACUGUAACUGGAUGUUUGACAAAUGGGCCAAAAACUGUCCUGUUUUCCUUUGUUCUGACAUACUGCAGCUCUAUUCAAUCUUCUAGUAGUUAUAUAAUAGACAACCAUAACUAUUAAGACUGUAUAACAGAGUUGUGAGCCGUUAUAUUUUUUAAAUGGAGGAAGGUACUGUAGAAAGCGCUAUUACCAAUUUCUAAGAGCAUUGCUUUUCAUGAUCUCUGUCAAUGAUAUAUAUUUGGUUGUGCAGGGCACAGUUUCAAAGUUUGUAGAUGACACUGAGCUUAGAAGUGUGGUGAACUAUGAACAGGAUAGUGAUAAACUUCGAGAUGGCACAGUCAAGCUUGUGAAAUGGGUGAACAGAUAAAAUUUAAUGCAGUGGAGUAUGAAGUUUUACGUUCUGGUAGGAAGAAAUAGGACAGGCAAUCAAAUAUAAAGAAUUAUAAAGGGGAGCAGGAGCAAAGGAAUACAGUGCUUUAUGUGAAUGAAUAGCUGAAUGAAGGUAGCAUGGCAGGUUCAGAAAGUGAUUAAUAACGCGUGAGGAAGCUUCAUAAAUAGGCUCAUUAUGUACAAAAGCAAGGAAUUUGCGGUAUCAGUUCAGCGUCAAUUGGGGCGAACUACAUUUUAAGAAGGAUUUGAAGGCUUUAGAGACAAUACUGAAACAUUUAUAAUGAUAGAUCCCAGGAUGAGGGAUGACUGUGAGAGUGGAUUGGGAAAGCUACAACUCUUUUCCUUACAGAAGAUUUGAUAACGUUGUCCAAAAUAAUGAGUGGUUUGGAAAUGGUAGUUAGGGAGAAACUAUUGCUAGAAAGAUCAAUUCUCCGGUUUAUGGUGAACAGUAAAAGAACUAAAAGUGACACAACGAUAAAAAUUUUAAAAUAUAAGUUGUUGGCAUCCAGAAAUCGAAUGCACUGAAUCAGUGUGUGCUGGGGUCAGAUUCUUAAAUGGCUUUCAAAAUGAAAAUGGAUACUUACCCAAAAAAAAAAUUGCCAAAAAAUGGUAGGGGAAUGGAAUUAAUUCAAUUGCCCUUAUACUGAGCAGCUAUGGAUAAAGUCAUAGCUGGCACAACGGAUGACGGUUAUGACUACUGGAGGUCAGUCACCUCUGCAGGAGUUCCUCAGGUAGUGCCCUAGGCCCAACCAUCUUCAGCUGCUUCAUCAAUGAUCUUCCCUCCAUUAUAAGGUCAGAAGUGGGGAUGUUCACCAAUGAUUGCACAAUAUUCAGCACCAUUCACGACUCCUCAGAUACUGAAGCAGUCAAUGUUCAAAUGCAACAAGAUGUGGACAAUAGCCUGGCUUGGGCUGAUAAGUGCAAAUAACAUUCGCACUACAUAAAUGCCAGAACCAUUACAAGCAAGAGACACUCUCACUACUGCCCUGGAUAUUCUGUGGUGUUACCAUCACUAAAUUCCCCACUGUCAUCAUCCUUGGAGUUACCAUUGACCAGAAACCAGAAAUUCAGCUGGACUUGCCACAUAACCACAUUGGCUACAAGAGCAGGUAAGAGGCUAGGAACGCUGCAGUGAGUAACUCACCUCUUGACUCCCCAAACUUGUCUUCAUCUACCAGGCGUAAGUCAGGAGUGUGAUGGAACACUUGCCUGGAUGUACAUUCACACCUUCCACCAUCGACGCUGAGUAGCAAUAAGUGGUGCUAUCUACAAGAUACACUGCAGAAAUUCACCAAAGAUCCUUCGACACGAGUUUCCAAACCCAAGAUCACUUCUAUUCAGAAGGAUAAAGGCAGCAGAUAGAUGGGAACAACACCACCUACAAGAUCCCCUCCAAGCCACUCACCCAUCCUGAAUCGGAAAUGUAUCGCCAUUCCUUCACUAUUGCUCGGUCAAAAUCCUGGAAUUCUCUCCCUAAGUACAUUGUGGGUCAACUCACAGCAUGUGGUCUAUAGUGAUUCAAGGCGGCAGCUCACCAACACCUUCCCAAGGGUAAAUAAGGAUAAGCAUAAAUGCUGGCCAGCCAGUGAUGUCCACAUCCCAUGACUGAAUAAAAAAGAACCAAACAGUCUUGUCUGUGCUUUAACUGUUCUGAUUCUAUUUUUCAUUUAAAAUAAUAAUUUUACACAAUUAAUGGUAAUGCUGUUAGAUUUGAAUAGAGAUGCCAUGGACAUAAUCAACAUUACUCAAAUCUCAAAAUGUAGGUACACAGAGUUGUCAAACAGCAAAAUUAAAUGUACUUUUUUUUAUAACAGCAUUUUUGUUCAAGUUCAUCGUAAAGGAUUAAUUAAUAUAGAAACUGUUUGAAAAUAACAUUGUGCUUUAAGGCUCCUGGUUAAAAAAAAAUCCAAUUUUGUGAUUUCUUAUCCAUUCACACCCUAAUUAAAAAAAAGUAUCCACUCUUA